CAUUUCUGGUGAUGCUUUGCACUGGGCUCAGAAAUCAGUGGUGACAGAAGUGCAGCUCUGCCCUUGACAAGGCGGAGUCUGAGGAGAUG
ensembl:snoRNA small nucleolar RNA SNORD88